rnacentral:rRNA from 1 species
UACGAAGGGGGCUAGCGUUGUUCGGAUUUACUGGGCGUAAAGCGCACGUAGGCGGACCUGCAAGUUGGGGGUGAAAUCCCGGGGCUCAACCCCGGAACUGCCCUCAAAACUGCUGGUCUGGAAGUCGAGAGAGGUGAGUGGAAUUCCGAGUGUAGAGGUGAAAUUCGUAGAUAUUCGGAGGAACACCAGUGGCGAAGGCGGCUCACUGGCUCGAUACUGACGCUAAGGUGCGAAAGCGUGGGGAGCAAACAGG